rnacentral:rRNA from 1 species
UACGAAGGUGGCAAGCGUUACUCGGAAUUACUGGGCGUAAAGGGCAUGUAGGCGGUUCGGUAAGUCUGUUGUGUAAGCUCCCGGCUUAACUGGGAGAGGUCAACGGAAACUACCGGACUUGAGUAUAGGAGAGGUUACUGGAAUUCCCGGUGUAGCGGUGAAAUGCGCAGAGAUCGGGAGGAACACCAAUGGCGAAAGCAGGUAACUGGACUAUUACUGACGCUCAGCUGCGAAAGCUAGGGGAGCAAACAGG